AUGAACGCUAGCGGCAGGCUUAAUACAUGCAAGGUUGAGGGGCAGCAUGAUAUACGCGAGUAUAUUGAUGGCGACCGGCGGACGGGUGAGGUAAUAGGUAGGAGACCUACCUCAUACAGGGGGAUAGCAUAGAGAAAUCUGUGGUAAUACCCCAUGAGGUUAUAUGAAUAGAGGCAUAUAAUCAAAGCAUAAGUGAUUAUGCGGUAUGAGAGGGGCCUACUGACCAUUAGCUAGUUGGUGAGGUAAGGGCUCACCAAGGCGAAGAUGGUAGGGGUUUUGAGAGAGAGACCCCCCCACAUUGGAACUGAGAGACGGUCCAGACUCCUACGGGAGGCAGCAGUAGGGAAUAUUGGGCAAUGGGCGAAAGCCUGACCCAGCCAUGCCGCGUGAAGGAAGACGGCCUUAUGGGUUGUAAACUUCUUUACUACGCGAAUAGAGGUUAGUACGAGAUACUAAUAGGAAGGUAGUGUAGUAAAAAGCACCGGCUAACUCCGUG
rnacentral:rRNA from 1 species